GCUGGGCACGGUGGCUCAUGCCUGUAAUCCCAGCACUUUGGGAGGCUGAGGUGGGCGGAUCACCUGAGGUCAGGAGUUCAAGAUCAGCCUGACCAACAUGGUGAAAUCUCAUCUCUA
rnacentral:SRP_RNA from 1 species